rnacentral:rRNA from 1 species
CCAGAGAUGGAUUGGUGCCUUCGGGAACUGUGAGACAGGUGCUGCAUGGCUGUCGUCAGCUCGUGUUGUGAAAUGUUGGGUUAAGUCCCGCAACGAGCGCAACCCUUAUCCUUUGUUGCCAGCGGUCCGGCCGGGAACUCAAAGGAGACUGCCAGUGAUAAACUGGAGGAAGGUGGGGAUGACGUCAAGUCAUCAUGGCCCUUACGACCAGGGCUACACACGUGCUACAAUGGCGCAUACAAAGAGAAGCGACCUCGCGAGAGCAAGCGGACCUCAUAAAGUGCGUCGUAGUCCGGAUUGGAGUCUGCAACUCGACUCCAUGAAGUCGGAAUCGCUAGUAAUCGUGGAUCAGAAUGCCACGGUGAAUACGUUCCCGGGCCUUGUACACACCGCCCGUCACACCAUGGGAGUGGGUUGCAAAAGAAGUAGGUAGCUUAACCUUCGGGAGGGCGCUUACCACUUUGUGAUUCAUGACUGGGGUGAAGUCGUAACAAGGUAACCGUAGGGGAACCUGCGGCUGGAUCACCUC